rnacentral:rRNA from 1 species
UACAGAGGGUGCGAGCGUUUAAUCGGAAUUACUGGGCGUAAAGCGUGCGCAGGCGGCGCGUUCUGCCCGGCGUGAAAGCCCCCCGGCUCAACCGGGGAAGGUCGUCGGGGGACGGGCGCGCUUGAGGGCGGCAGGGGCUGGUGGAACUCCCGGUGUAGUGGUGAAAUGCGUAGAGAUCGGGAGGAACACCUGUGGCGAAGGCGGUUCUCUGGGCAUUACCUGACGCUGAGGAGCGAAAGUGUGGGGGAGCGAACAGG